AAAUUGAAGAGUUUGAUCAUGGCUCAGAUUGAACGCUGGCGGCAGGCCUAACACAUGCAAGUCGAGCGGUAACACAGGGAGCUUGCUCCCGGGUGACGAGCGGCGGACGGGUGAGUAAUGUCUGGGAAACUGCCUGAUGGAGGGGGAUAACUACUGGAAACGGUAGCUAAUACCGCAUAACGUCGCAAGACCAAAGAGGGGGACCUUCGGGCCUCUUGCCAUCAGAUGUGCCCAGAUGGGAUUAGCUAGUAGGUGGGGUAACGGCUCACCUAGGCGACGAUCCCUAGCUGGUCUGAGAGGAUGACCAGCCACACUGGAACUGAGACACGGUCCAGACUCCUACGGGAGGCAGCAGUGGGGAAUAUUGCACAAUGGGCGCAAGCCUGAUGCAGCCAUGCCGCGUGUAUGAAGAAGGCCUUCGGGUUGUAAAGUACUUUCAGCGGGGAGGAAGGUGUUGAGGUUAAUAACCUCAGCAAUUGACGUUACCCGCAGAAGAAGCACCGGCUAACUCCGUGCCAGCAGCCGCGGUAAUACGGAGGGUGCAAGCGUUAAUCGGAAUUACUGGGCGUAAAGCGCACGCAGGCGGUCUGUCAAGUCGGAUGUGAAAUCCCCGGGCUCAACCUGGGAACUGCAUUCGAAACUGGCAGGCUAGAGUCUUGUAGAGGGGGUAGAAUUCCAGGUGUAGCGGUGAAAUGCGUAGAGAUCUGGAGGAAUACCGGUGGCGAAGGCGGCCCCCUGGACAAAGACUGACGCUCAGGUGCGAAAGCGUGGGGAGCAAACAGGAUUAGAUACCCUGGUAGUCCACGCCGUAAACGAUGUCGACUUGGAGGUUGUGCCCUUGAGGCGUGGCUUCCGGAGCUAACGCGUUAAGUCGACCGCCUGGGGAGUACGGCCGCAAGGUUAAAACUCAAAUGAAUUGACGGGGGCCCGCACAAGCGGUGGAGCAUGUGGUUUAAUUCGAUGCAACGCGAAGAACCUUACCUACUCUUGACAUCCAGAGAACUUUCCAGAGAUGGAUUGGUGCCUUCGGGAACUCUGAGACAGGUGCUGCAUGGCUGUCGUCAGCUCGUGUUGUGAAAUGUUGGGUUAAGUCCCGCAACGAGCGCAACCCUUAUCCUUUGUUGCCAGCGGUUAGGCCGGGAACUCAAAGGAGACUGCCAGUGAUAAACUGGAGGAAGGUGGGGAUGACGUCAAGUCAUCAUGGCCCUUACGAGUAGGGCUACACACGUGCUACAAUGGCGCAUACAAAGAGAAGCGACCUCGCGAGAGCAAGCGGACCUCAUAAAGUGCGUCGUAGUCCGGAUUGGAGUCUGCAACUCGACUCCAUGAAGUCGGAAUCGCUAGUAAUCGUAGAUCAGAAUGCUACGGUGAAUACGUUCCCGGGCCUUGUACACACCGCCCGUCACACCAUGGGAGUGGGUUGCAAAAGAAGUAGGUAGCUUAACCUUCGGGAGGGCGCUUACCACUUUGUGAUUCAUGACUGGGGUGAAGUCGUAACAAGGUAACCGUAGGGGAACCUGCGGUUGGAUCACCUCCUUACCUUAAAGAA
rnacentral:rRNA from 1 species